rnacentral:SRP_RNA from 1 species
GCGAUAGGUAGGGCCGGGAGAAUAGCCGCCUCCCACUAUCCCGCAGUCGGCUAUAGCGGGGGCCAGUAACCAUUAGGUAAAACGCCUAAACAAGGAAACCGUUAACUCAAUCCCAAAAUGAACUCGCGCCGUGAUGGGUGGACGCAAUAGGCGCUUCCUUCGAAAGAAGGAAGACGACCUUCAACUACCGAACCGGGUGAGGCCCGGGAGGGAGCAACCCUAAGGUAGGGCGUCCACGCUAUCACGUCUACGUGAGGGAUUGGGUAGAGUUAAUAGGCCCUGUUUAGGUGUGAAUACUAAUGGAGCUAUCGC